GGGGAAAGAAGAGUGUCAGGGAGAGGGAGACAGGUUGGUGGGGAAAGAAGAGUGACAGGGAGAGGGAGACAGGUUGGUGGGGAAAGAAGAGUGACAGGGAGAGGGAGACAGGUUGGUGGGGAAAGAAGAGUGGCAGGGAGAGGGAGACAGGUUGGUGGGGAAAGAAGAGUGGCAGGGAGAGGGAGACAGGUUGGUGGGGAAAGAAGAGUGGUAGGGAGAGGGAGAAUGUGUGGAUGACAAAGGACAGGAAGACCAGGAGCGGUGGUCUCUGAUGAGAUAAGGGCCACAAUUAUUGACCAUGUUGUAAACCAUUGUCUCUCUUUGAGAGUGGCCGG
ensembl:lncRNA